rnacentral:lncRNA from 1 species
UUUCAGGGCUGACACUUUCUAUUGGAUAACCAAUGAGAGUGCUUAUUCUGCCAAAGGCUAAUUUUCCCUCUCCUAGCAGCCAGUAGUUGCAUGGAGUUAUUUGUCUAGCGGUGAGGACCCCAGGAAUCUCCCCCCUUUCCUGUUAACACAUGUACUGAUUUCACCUGUUUCACUCUUGUUUGUGCAGUUGUUUCUAGGAAAGUCUGUUUUCCUUGUUUUCAAACCUGCGCUCAUUGCAACACUUGUGAAAUGUACUGUAUUCUAUUGUAUCCACAAAGGAGACUCUCUACAGUUCUGAACUCAUUCGUUUUUCCCAAUGUCCUCUGAUUUGCCAACUUUUUCUCAUAGUCUCUGCAGAACCUAUACGACUAAGAUCCACAGAUUCUUCAUACACCCUGGACAGAACACUGUAACGGUGGAAGGUAUCUUUUAACUAAGACACCACAGCCUUCUAAGUGAUUUCCUGUACCAUGUGUAACAAGGAGACUGGACUCUGACAUCAGCCAUAAGCUCUGUGUAUAAAGGUCUUCUUUUCCCAUGUUUUCGGAUUUCUUUUUCUUAUGAUGGACACUUCAGUUUAAAUAACUUCUGAGGAGUGACCGAUGAUGAUGUGUACAAUACAGAUUUAAUGUAAUCAUCAAAACCUAUACUUGAAAUAAAUGGGUUGUGUGUUUACCAUGGAAAAGUUAACAAAAACAUUGGAGAAAAUAUGUGGAACCAGAUGAUUCGUGUCCAG